GUCGUACCAGGGUUUCCGUAGGUGAACCUGCGAAGGGAUCAUUAUCGUAAAACCGAGGCGCGAGGGCUGUCGCUGACCUGAACUCGGGUCGUGCACGUCCGAGCGUUCUCACACAUCCGUCUCACCCACAUGUGCACCACCGCGUGGGUCUUCCUUUGGCUCGUCCGAAGGGGGGCUUACGUUUUCACACAAACUUUCGUAUGCAGCGUAGAAUGUACCUUUGUUUUGCGAUGACGCAAUUAAUACAACUUUCAACAACGGAUCUCUUGGCUCUCGCAUCGAUGAAGAACGCAGCGAAAUGCGAUACGUAAUGUGAAUWGCAGAAUUCAGUGAAUCAUCGAAUCUUUGAACGCACCUUGCGCCCCUUGGCAUUCCGAGGGGCACACCCGUUUGAGUGUCGUGAAAUUCUCAAAACCCUUUUCUUUUUGGGAAAAGGGUUUUGGACUUGGAGGCCCUUUGCUGGCUUUGCCUUUGAAGCCAGCUCCUCCUAAAUAAAUUAGUGGGGUCCGCUUUGCCGAUCCUUGACGUGAUAAGAUGUWUCUACGUCUUGGGUUCGACACUGUCACCUGCUUCUAAUCGUCUCAUUGACAACGAUGGUGCUCCGGUCGCUGCCCAUCUAUGGGUGGUCGGCUUGACCCACAACAUGACCUUGACCUCWAAUCGGGUGAGACUACCCGCUGAACUUAAGCAUAUCAAUAAGCG
rnacentral:sRNA from 1 species